rnacentral:lncRNA from 1 species
AACAAUCAUGCAAAAACAUGCAAAGGAAGGCUGAACAGGGCACUUUCGGCGGCAGGUUCGGCGGCCGAAAGUCCCUCCAGAGCCGAAAGUCAGGCAGGUUCGGCGGCACCUUCGGCGGCCGAAACUCCCAGAUAGAGACGAAAGUCUCCUUUCGGGGGCAGGCUUCGGCAGCCGAAAGGCUUGCCUCCCCAGCUAUAUUCGGCGGCCGAAAGUCCUUCGGCUGCCGAACCUGGUUUCUGCCAAAGGGCAGAAACUUGGCUCCUCUAUGCACAUACACCUCCCAAUCCAAACCAAACAUGCAUAAACCUAUUCUACAACACACAUACACAAGCAUACAAGCUCCUAGGGGUUUCAAACCAUC